rnacentral:rRNA from 1 species
CAGCUAGUUGGUGGGGUAAAGGCUCACCAAGGCGACGAUCGGUAGCUGUUCUGAGAGGAAGAUCAGCCACACUGGGACUGAGACACGGCCCAGACUCCUACGGGAGGCAGCAGUUGGGAAUCUUGGACAAUGGGGGAAACCCUGAUCCAGCCAUGCCGCGUGAGUGAUGAAGGCCUUAGGGUUGUAAAACUCUUUCGGCGGGGACGAUAAUGACGGUACCCGCAGAAGAAGCUCCGGCUAACUUCGUGCCAACAGCCGCGGUAAUACGAAGGGGGCUAGCGUUGUUCGGAAUUACUGGGCGUAAAGCGUGCGCAGGCGGCCAUCCAAGUCAGUGGUGUUUUCUU